UACAGAGGGGGCAAGCGUUGUUCGGAAUUACUGGGCGUAAAGGGCGCGUAGGCGGCCUGCUAAGUCGAACGUGAAAUCCCCGAGCUCAACUCGGGAACUGCGUCCGAUACUGGCAGGCUUGAAUCCGGGAGAGGGAUGCGGAAUUCCGGGUGUAGCGGUGAAAUGCGUAGAUAUCCGGAGGAACACCGGUGGCGAAGGCGGCUUCCUGGACCGACACUGACGCUGAGGCGCGAAAGCUAGGGGAGCAAACGGG
rnacentral:rRNA from 1 species